rnacentral:RNase_P_RNA from 1 species
GGUCAUUCGCUCCACCUUCUUCGGAGAGUGGAGAGGAAAGUCCGGACAUCGCAGGGCAGGAUUCCCUUCGAAAGAGGGGGGGGAUCGUUUGAAUGCGGUUCCACGGCUAGUGCCACAGAAAACAAACCGCCUCCUUCGGGAGGCAAGGGUGAAAAGGUGGAGUAAGAGCCCACCGCCGCGAGAGCAAUCGAACGGGCAAGGUAAACCCAAUCCGAUGCAAGACGAAAUAGGAGACCGGAUGGCCCGUCCAAUGGUCUCGGGUACGUUGCACCUCGCUUCGGCGAGGACUGAGUUCGCCUCGGUAGAUGAAUGAAUGACGAAUGCUGCUUUUGGGCAGUAUGAACAGAAUCCGGCUUACAGCU